GAUGAAGAACGUAGUGAAAUGCGAUAAGUAAUGUGAAUUGCAGAAUUCAGUGAAUCAUCGAAUCUUUGAACGCACAUUGCGCCCCCUGGUAUUCCGGGGGGCAUGCCUGUUCGAGCGUCAUUUCAACCCUCAAGCUCUGCUUGGUAUUGGGCGUCGCCGGGGAGUCUCCCCGGCGUGCCUCAAAGCCAUCGGCGGUGGUGCCUUUCUCUAAGCGUGGUAGAAUUUUUAUUCGCUUCUGAGUUGGGCUUCGCCUGCCGGACAAGCCGGGCCCUCGCGGCCCACCUUCUCAGGUUGACCUCGGAUCAGGUAGGGAUACCCGCUGAACUUAAGCAUAUCAAUAAGCGGAGGA
rnacentral:misc_RNA from 1 species